rnacentral:SRP_RNA from 1 species
GCUGGGCAUGGUGGCGCAUGCCUGUAGUACCAGCUACUCGGGAGGCUGAGGUGGGAGGAUCGCUUGAGCCCAGGAGUUCUGGGCUGUAGUCCGCUAUGCGGAUCAGAUAUCCACGCUAAGUUCAGCAUCAACGUGGUGACCUCCCGGGAGCAGGGGACCACCAGGUUGCCUAAGGAGGGGUGAACUGGCCCAGGUCGGAAAUGGAGCAGGUCAAAACUCCUGUGCUGAUUAGUAGUGGGAUCAUGCCUGUGAAUAGCCACUGCACUCCAGCCUGGGCAACACAGGGAGACCCCGUCUCU